rnacentral:rRNA from 1 species
CCAAAAGAUCGAAUGGGGAGAUUCAUCGUCAGCGGUGCUGGUAUGCACGCGGUUCGCGAUGCCGGAGACUUCGGUCUCGUGGCACGCGUCCGCGUGUUUGAAUUGCCUGGCAUCGUCGGCGUGCACUUCUCCCCUAGUAGGACGUCGCGACCCGUUGGGUGUCGGUCUACGGCCCGGGUGGGUGCCUGUCUCGUGUGACACCUCACGGUGCCACUGCGAAACAGACCCCCGGUUGCCCGACCGGCUGCCCGGCGGUACUCGCACGGUAUCCGGCCGCAAAUAUUCGAACUGCGUCCGGCCCGUCGCAAGCGAGGCAAGUGUUUCCCGAAUGUACGGAUCUAAUGCCGUCAUCGGGCCUAGCCAGCUGUUGGCUGACGGUGUCCUAGGACUGGCUGUAACAAUUAUGAUACCGGUCAGCGACGCUACUGCUUUGGGUACUUUCAGGACCCGUCUUGAAACACGGA